rnacentral:rRNA from 1 species
GGGACACGUGGUAUCCUGUCUGAAUAUGGGGGGACCAUCCUCCAAGGCUAAAUACUCCUGACUGACCGAUAGUGAACCAGUACCGUGAGGGAAAGGCGAAAAGAACCCCGGCGAGGGGAGUGAAAAAGAACCUGAAACCGUGUACGUACAAGCAGUGGGAGCCUCUUAAUGGGGUGACUGCGUACCUUUUGUAUAAUGGGUCAGCGACUUAUAUUCUGUAGCAAGGUUAACCGAAUAGGGGAGCCGAAGGGAAACCGAGUCUUAACUGGGCGUUAAGUUGCAGGGUAUAGACCCGAAACCCGGUGAUCUAGCCAUGGGCAGGUUGAAGGUUGGGUAACACUAACUGGAGGACCGAACCGACUAAUGUUGAAAAAUUAGCGGAUGACUUGUGGCUGGGGGUGAAAGGCCAAUCAAACCGGGAGAUAGCUGGUUCUCCCCGAAAGCUAUUUAGGUAGCGCCUCGUGAAUUCAUCUCCGGGGGUAGAGCACUGUUUCGGCAAGGGGGUCAUCCCGACUUACCAACCCGAUGCAAACUGCGAAUACCGGAGAAUGUUAUCACGGGAGACACACGGCGGGUGCUAACGUCCGUCGUGAAGAGGGAAACAACCCAGACCGCCAGCUAAGGUCCCAAAGUCAUGGUUAAGUGGGAAACGAUGUGGGAAGGCCCAGACAGCCAGGAUGUUGGCUUAGAAGCAGCCAUCAUUUAAAGAAAGCGUAAUAGCUCACUGGUCGAGUCGGCCUGCGCGGAAGAUGUAACGGGGCUAAACCAUGCACCGAAGCUGCGGCAGCGACGCUUAUGCGUUGUUGGGUAGGGGAGCGUUCUGUAAGCCUGUGAAGGUGUGCUGUGAGGCAUGCUGGAGGUAUCAGAAGUGCGAAUGCUGACAUAAGUAACGAUAAAGCGGGUGAAAAGCCCGCUCGCCGGAAGACCAAGGGUUCCUGUCCAACGUUAAUCGGGGCAGGGUGAGUCGACCCCUAAGGCGAGGCCGAAAGGCGUAGUCGAUGGGAAACAGGUUAAUAUUCCUGUACUUGGUGUUACUGCGAAGGGGGGACGGAGAAGGCUAUGUUGGCCGGGCGACGGUUGUCCCGGUUUAAGCGUGUAGGCUGGUUUUCCAGGCAAAUCCGGAAAACCAAGGCUGAGGCGUGAUGACGAGGCACUACGGUGCUGAAGCGACAAAUGCCCUGCUUCCAGGAAAAGCCUCUAAGCAUCAGGUAACAUCAAAUCGUACCCCAAACCGACACAGGUGGUCAGGUAGAGAAUACCAAGGCGCUUGAGAGAACUCGGGUGAAGGAACUAGGCAAAAUGGUGCCGUAACUUCGGGAGAAGGCACGCUGAUAUGUAGGUGAAGCGACUUGCUCGUGGAGCUGAAAUCAGUCGAAGAUACCAGCUGGCUGCAACUGUUUAUUAAAAACACAGCACUGUGCAAACACGAAAGUGGACGUAUACGGUGUGACGCCUGCCCGGUGCCGGAAGGUUAAUUGAUGGGGUUAGCGGCAACGCGAAGCUCUUGAUCGAAGCCCCGGUAAACGGCGGCCGUAACUAUAACGGUCCUAAGGUAGCGAAAUUCCUUGUCGGGUAAGUUCCGACCUGCACGAAUGGCGUAAUGAUGGCCAGGCUGUCUCCACCCGAGACUCAGUGAAAUUGAACUCGCUGUGAAGAUGCAGUGUACCCGCGGCAAGACGGAAAGACCCCGUGAACCUUUACUAUAGCUUGACACUGAACAUUGAGCCUUGAUGUGUAGGAUAGGUGGGAGGCUUUGAAGUGUGGACGCCAGUCUGCAUGGAGCCGACCUUGAAAUACCACCCUUUAAUGUUUGAUGUUCUAACGUUGGCCCCUAAUCGGGGUUGCGGACAGUGUCUGGUGGGUAGUUUGACUGGGGCGGUCUCCUCCUAAAGAGUAACGGAGGAGCACGAAGGUUGGCUAAUCCUGGUCGGACAUCAGGAGGUUAGUGCAAUGGCAUAAGCCAGCUUGACUGCGAGCGUGACGGCGCGAGCAGGUGCGAAAGCAGGUCAUAGUGAUCCGGUGGUUCUGAAUGGAAGGGCCAUCGCUCAACGGAUAAAAGGUACUCCGGGGAUAACAGGCUGAUACCGCCCAAGAGUUCAUAUCGACGGCGGUGUUUGGCACCUCGAUGUCGGCUCAUCACAUCCUGGGGCUGAAGUAGGUCCCAAGGGUAUGGCUGUUCGCCAUUUAAAGUGGUACGCGAGCUGGGUUUAGAACGUCGUGAGACAGUUCGGUCCCUAUCUGCCGUGGGCGCUGGAGAACUGAGGGGGGCUGCUCCUAGUACGAGAGGACCGGAGUGGACGCAUCACUGGUGUUCGGGUUGUCAUGCCAAUGGCACUGCCCGGUAGCUAAAUGCGGAAGAGAUAAGUGCUGAAAGCAUCUAAGCACGAAACUUGCCCCGAGAUGAGUUCUCCCUGAGACUUAGAGUCUCCUGAAGGAACGUUGAAGACGACGACGUUGAUAGGCCGGGUGUGUAAGCGCAGCGAUGCGUUGAGCUAACCGGUACUAAUGAACCGUGAGGCUUAACCUUACAACGCCGAAG